AAUUAAUCCACCUCUUCUUCAUCUCCUUAUUUUUCGGUCGCUUCCGUCUCUCGCCCGCCUCUUCGAUCCCUUUCCCAUGCAUCUCUUUGAUCUCCUCCUAAGCGACCGUCUCUCCCCCGCCUCUUCGAUCCCUUUCCCAUGCAUCUCUUUGAUCUUCUCCUAAUAACACUACUAACCAGAGAGAGAGGAGAGUGCGCGCGUGCGACACUGCCGCUUCGAUCCCUCCCUUGCCUCUUCGAUUCCUUCCCCGCCUCUUCGAUUUCCUUCUAAUAACCCUAAUAUAAUCUGAGAGAGUGUGAGCGCGUGCCCGAUACCUCCUUUCUUUCCUGUACUUUCACCUUUCGCCAGAGAACUUCGCCGCCACUAUGAUAUCCGCCGAUAGAAACCCUAGCGGCUCUAAUGGACUGAAGCAAGCCCCCCUAGAAGCAGCCCCCGCUCAAGCAUCAGAAGAAGAGGAUGAGGAUCUGGUGAGUACAUCGUCUCCCUUUCCCCUCUCUUGAUCUCGAUCUCGAUCUCGAUCUCGAUCUCGAUUUGCUUUAAUCGAGAAUUUUGCUAUGUAUUUUUGAUGAAAUAUCUGCAUAAAAAUUUAAAAUUAUCCAAAUUUAUUAUCUAAGCUUCUAUGAAGAAUCUAACUAAGCCUAUUAUGUCCAAGUGAUGAUUAGUUUGAGGGAUCUAUUGCUUAACAGUAAGAUCUCUCAUUAAGCAAAAGAAAGGAGUAAUAAGAUUUUUAUGGCAUAAAUGCUAAUUUAUUUAAUUAGCUAAACCCUUGUUUUACUUUAGGACUGCUAACAAAUAGGGACUUCGAGACGGCUCUGGCAAGCGGAUUCACGAGUGCUAUCGUUGGCGAUAUUAUCACGUCGAUCCCCGGCUAAACCAUCAACAGCACAGUCAAGCUCCCUUGCUGGACCAUCAAUGGCACAGUCGAUCUCAUCUCCUCCAGCCAGCGGCAAGACGACAUGAUCCUUAUCUUGCCACAUGGUAAUUAACUAAUUAAUUCUGUAACUAUUAUUUAACAUAUGUGAAAUAAUUUAAUUUUUAUUGUGAGUCAAAACAUAAUUAAUAAUGAAUGUGGCGCUCGCAAUAAAAAAUAUUAGAUGUUAUUUUGGUAUUAGUUUUUUUCCAUUGAAGUUAUUUAGAACUUUUAAUAUACAGUAUUUUGUAUUUGAAUAGUCUUAUAUUUUCUUCCCCUCCCCCCUAAAGAAAAACCUCAUAUUGUACAUCCCAGUCCUGGACGUCCAGAAAACAAAAACUAAAUUUAGUUUUUUUAGUAAGAUUAUAAUCUUAUCUUUCUUUAUUUUUGUAAAGUGAAGUUUUAUUCUUUGCAUAUGAAUUAGGAUUUAAAUUGUUAUUUUGCAUUAAGACGUUAAAAUAUUUUUUGGUUAGCAU
rnacentral:lncRNA from 1 species